UACGGGGGGGGCAAGCGUUGUUCGGAAUUACUGGGCGUAAAGGGCUUGUAGGUGGCCAACUAAGUCAGACGUGAAAUCCCUCAGCUUAACUGGGGAACUGCGUCUGAGACUGGUAGGCUCGAGGACAGGAGAGGAACGCGGAAUUCCAGGUGUAGCGGUGAAAUGCGUAGAUAUCUGGAGGAACACCGGUGGCGAAGGCGGCGUUCUGGACUGUUUCUGACACUGAAAACGAAAGCCAGGGGAGCAAACGGG
rnacentral:rRNA from 1 species